ensembl:lncRNA
CAGGAGGCGGUGGGUCUCGGUAUACAGGAGGCGGUGGGUCUCGGUAUACAGGAUGGGGUGGGUCUCGGUAUACAGGAGGCGGUGAGUCUCGGGAUACAGGAGGCGGUGGGUCUCGGUAUACAGGAUGGGGUGGGUCUCGGUAUACAGGAGGCGGUGGGUCUCGGUAUACAGGAGGAGGUGGCUUUCUCGGACAUAGUCAAAUUUGAAAACUUUCUGAAUAUCAAGAUUGUGGUUUUGUACCACAGUAGAGCUAAUGCAGCUCUCUUGAAGUUCCAAAACACCCCCCAACCGCACCCUCAGAUUCUGUACUUUUAUGUGCAAAACGAACAUUACUACGCCGUUACAAACAUCACUGCUUUUUUAGGCGGCCCAUAUGUGUGUCCAUCCUGCCAUACCGGCUACACCCGAAAGGGGGGGCACUCGUGCCGUUAUAACUGUUCAGUAUGUCAGGAUGCAGUGCCCAAUGCAACCCUUAAACUUGACACCCUGUGAGGAUUGCCACCGCACAUGUUGUUUGACCUACUGUUACGAAAGACACAAAAUUGAAACAUGGCACCCCAAGGCAUGUAAAUCUGUAAGCUGUUGUGACAUUAACAAGUAAUACUUUUUCUCUCUAAAGGUUCGGGGUCAAAAUUGACACCCUUUUCAAUACCUCACCUUGUGUGGAUAACGGCACUGAGCCUUUUUCUAAAAGGUGUUAUGAGUUGGAGAACACAUUGGGAGUGAUCUUAGACCAUUCCUCCAUACAGAAUCCUUACAAAUCUUCCCAGUUUGUUUUCUUACCAUGAACAUAUUACAAACUAACAAAACUGUGUAUUAGUCGCCCUCUAGUGGUAGGUGGUUAUAAUGUCUCCGGUCUCCUCUCUCUUCUCUCCGUCUCCCCCUCUACAGUCUCCACACUCCUCUCUCUCUCUUCUCUCCGUCUCCCCCUCUACAGUCUCCACACUCCUCUCUCUCUCACAAACAUAGACUAUGACCUGCCGAAUGAGCAAUCCUGAUUAAAGAUUCCCACAAUACCCCCCUCCCCUCUGUCUCUCUCUCACUCUCUCUCACUCUCUCUCUCUCUCUCUCUCUCUCUCUCUCUGUGUAGGCCUGCCAGGCUGUUAGGUUAAUGGACCAUGGAAACCCACUGAGAAUCUGCCACUGCCAUACAGAGAGAGCUACAAAUGAACAUGAUUAAAAUACAUGAAACCGUGUUCAACACAACUCCAUGUAUGUUGUUCUCUCUGUUUACAGGACUAGAAGUCUGGUUAAAACACAUCAAUACAGAAUGAAUUAUAUGUCUUCAAACCUUAGACUCAUGUCCAUCAACAUGCUGGCUUCACCCCAACC